rnacentral:rRNA from 1 species
UACGGAGGGAGCUAGCGUUGUUCGGAAUUACUGGGCGUAAAGCGCACGUAGGCGGCUUUGUAAGUUAGAGGUGAAAGCCCGGGGCUCAACUCCGGAAUUGCCUUUAAGACUGCAUCGCUUGAAUCCGGGAGAGGUGAGUGGAAUUCCGAGUGUAGAGGUGAAAUUCGUAGAUAUUCGGAAGAACACCAGUGGCGAAGGCGGCUCACUGGACCGGCAUUGACGCUGAGGUGCGAAAGCGUGGGGAGCAAACAGG